rnacentral:rRNA from 1 species
AAAGGUAAGCUACUAAGAGCGAAUGGUGGAUGCCUUGACUGGUAAAGGCGAUGAAGGACGUACUAGACUGCGAUAAGCUACGGGGAGCUGUCAAGAAGCUUUGAUCCGUAGAUUUCCGAAUGGGGCAACCCAAUGUAUAGAGAUAUACAUUACCUAUAUAGGAGCGAACGAGGGGAAUUGAAACAUCUUAGUACCCUCAGGAAAAGAAAUCAAUAGAGAUUGCGUCAGUAGCGGCGAGCGAAAGCGCAAGAGGGCAAACCCAGUGCUUGCACUGGGGGUUGUAGGACUGCAAUAUGCAAGAGGUAAGUUUAGCAGAACAUUCUGGAAAGUAUAACCAUAGAGGGUGAUAGUCCCGUAUGCGAAAAACAAACCUUAGCUAGCAGUAUCCUGAGUAGGGCGGGACACGAGGAAUCCUGUCUGAAUCCGGGUCGACCACGAUCCAACCCUAAAUACUAAUACCAGAUCGAUAGUGCACAAGUACCGUGAGGGAAAGGUGAAAAGAACUGAGGUGAUCAGAGUGAAAUAGAACCUGAAACCAUUUGCUUACAAUCAUUCAGAGCCCUAUGUAGCAAUACAGGGUGAUGGACUGCCUUUUGCAUAAUGAGCCUGCGAGUUGUGGUGUCUGGCAAGGUUAAGCAAACGCGAAGCCGUAGCGAAAGCGAGUCUGAAUAGGGCGCUUAGUCAGAUGCUGCAGACCCGAAACGAAGUGAUCUAUCCAUGAGCAAGUUGAAGCUAGUGUAAGAACUAGUGGAGGACUGAACCCAUAGGCGUUGAAAAGCCCCGGGAUGACUUGUGGAUAGGGGUGAAAGGCCAAUCAAACUUCGUGAUAGCUGGUUCUCUCCGAAAUAUAUUUAGGUAUAGCGUUGUGUCGUAAUAU